AUUGAACGCUGGCGGCAUGCCUUACACAUGCAAGUCGAACGGCAGCGGACCUUCGGGUGCCGGCGAGUGGCGAACGGGUGAGUAAAGUAUCGGAACGUACCUUUCAGUGGGGGAUAACGUAGCGAAAGUUACGCUAAUACCGCAUAUUCUGUGAGCAGGAAAGCAGGGGAUCGCAAGACCUUGUGCUGAUUGAGCGGCCGAUAUCAGAGUAGCUAGUUGGUGAGGUAAAGGCUCACCACGGCGACGAUCUGUAGCGGGUCUGAGAGGAUGAUCCGCCACACUGGAACUGAGACCCGGUCCAGACUCCUACGGGAGGCAGCAGUGGGGAAUUUUGGACAAUGGGGGCAACCCUGAUCCAGCCAUGCCGCGUGAGUGAAGAAGGCCUUCGGGUUGUAAAGCUCUUUCGGCCGGGAAGAAAUCGCUUAGGUUAAUACCCUGAGUGGAUGACGGUACCGGAAUAAGAAGCACCGGCUAACUACGUGCCAGCCGCCGCCGUAA
rnacentral:rRNA from 1 species